ACUAAGCCAGCCAAAUUAUACAAUUUGUGGUUAUGUAAGUUUCUCAGAAAAUGAAAUUCAUAAUUGAGUUAUUUACCAAGUAAUUUGGUGUGAUUUGCAUAUUUUAUUCACCUACUUAACCAUUUUGUGUUUGCUGAACUGCAUGGCAUGAGAUUGCUAGGGGUCUAUGGAUAUGAAAAUGCACCAAUCUGCAUAUUUCUGCAUAUUUGUGUGCAUGUGAGUGAGAAAUCCAACCUUGAAGUGGAGAUUAUAAGCAUUUGGUUCAGUUAGAUUAUGAUCAUUCAGCAUUUGUCUCAACAUUUGUUGCUGUUCGCACAGUGAGCAGUGAUUGAUGUCAUGUUUAUGUCUCAAGUCUUGGGGAGCUCCCAACUUCCUUCUUAAUACUUUUGGAUUGCUGUUGGUGAGCAAUGGUAUGUCCUUUUUACAGAACUUGGCUUUGUUUUUCAUUUUAAUUCUGCUUGUAUCAUUGGAACAGAGUAGCGCGGCUUGUGGCAAUGGUCCAUUAAGCCAGCUUUGCACUCUUUAAUAAGCAUGUUCAAUUGUUGAUUGAAGACGUGUAUUCACAUGGAGUAUCACGUUGGUUGUUUGUUUUAUUGCUGUGGGGUAAAGAACUCCCUUAUCUGCACCACGCUUCUAGAGCCUUCUGAUAUUUACAACUGAAAUGAACCGCAUCUGAAAGAUGAAGAAGUACCUUGGUAUUUUCUUAUUUAAUUUUGGUGGCUUGUUCUUACUAUACCUUGAAGUGCAAGAUUUAAAUAAUUGCAGGUGGACAGUGAUUCUUUUACUUUUGAGUUUUAAGGGGUUAUAUAAAAUUAUGAAAGCUGAUAUGGACAAAUAAUCGACUCUGUAGAAGAAUCUCUGGAAGACAAGAAAAUAUAAACGUAUACUUAAUCAAAUAUUAAAAAAAGAAAAAAAAGAAUAAAUAUCAAAUAUUUACUGCUCAUUUCAGUUGUGGGCAAUUUCAGCCCUGAGGCUUUUCUUCUCGCAUGCCUGAGCUGCUUCUCCAGCAUGAAUCCAAUACUUUGCGAAUCUAUAGUGACCAUUUGCCAAGGCUUCCAUAGCUUGGGGAAGAAUGUAAACGAGGUCAAGCGUCGUUCUAGCUCAGGGUCUGUGGCCUGGUGGAUAAGCUUUUGUAUGUAAUUUGGCGUAUUAGUUGCAUUAGACAGGGCGAUAUUACCUGUUAUGGAAGCAAGACCCUUAAGGCCUUGACAUCCGCAUUAGAGCUUUGAGAAUUAUUUUGCAGAGACGAGACACAAAGAACGUAAUAGGGUGUCUUCUUGCAAGUUUCCCUAUCAAAUUGUCGCUUUCUAUCAUUGGUGUAAAGGGAAAAAAGAAUGAGAAAGGUAGGCAAAGAAGAGACUUAACGACUCUCUUUCUUAAAUGAACUAGAAUUGGUUGCAUGUGUAAUGACAAUUUGCCAAAUAUUUCCAUGCCAUGCUCAGAUCAUUAUAGGUUAGUUUCUGUUAGUAUGUUAUGCUAGUUUUGAAUGUUAUGCAUUUAGGUUAAAAGCAAAAAUUGCUUGCAUCAGUUGUCAGUAAUUUACUUGUUGAAUAGACACCAUUGCUUAAUUAUCUGGUUUACGUUGUUCCAUCAUUAAAGAUGCGGACCCUUUUGUCUGACAAGUUAUGUGGAGCUGAUUCAAAUGAAACAAGGGACUAAACAUUACUUGAAAUAAAACAAGGCCAAUGAAUUUCAAGCUCUUUUUUUCUUUUUAAUUGGUGUCUUGUUUUUUGCUUGAAAUCUUCUGGAGAGCUUAAUUGCCUGCCUUUCCGAGUUUCAGGUACUAGGUCGUCCGUAUUAAAUAGGCAGACUGUUAUCGUUUGGCCUGUUGGUUUUGUACACGAUUUUGAUUCAAGACAAAUAUAUUAUACCCCUGGCACAGGCACUACCCAGAAGGGGUAAACAGUGAUCCUGAAAAGAGAAUCUUGCUUUUGGCUUUCAUUCUUGAUGAUGUUCUCUCUUAAGGAAUAAAAUGAAUUUAGAGAUUCCAGGAGGAGAUAAGCAAAGAUGAGGGAAAGAGAAUCUUAUGGCGUAUGCCAUUAGAUGUCUAAGAAGUGGAUUGGCUUUAAGAUAAAAAGAUGGCUUACAGGAUAGCAGUAACUUGAAAGAUGGAAGAGACAUCAAACUGCUUUAUACAUGAUAAUCUUGGAUGAUGCCUAUGCUACUGCUAUUUGCUAAUACCCUAAUACGAAAUUUGUUAGAUCUCUGCAUAAUAUAAAUAUGCUUUUACUUAUUUAUUGGUUUGUUGUUUGAGAAAUCCAACGCUUCUAGCUGUUUUUAUUUAUUUAUUUAUUUUAUCAAUAUCAACCACCCGAUUCUGUUUGUGGCCAGCUUUAUAUUCUAUUGUGGCCACUUCUUUCUUUCCAAAAUAUGAACUUGGCUCGAUGGCGAUGGAUAAUUCCUUCUCCUUCUAGUCCCUGUACUUUUCUUUUUCUCUUUUUGGAUUCAAGGUAUUAAGGCUUCUGGGAAUAGUCCAGAAGAGGCAGAGCUGGCCUGUAUCUAAUGCACAUGUUGAUCCAAUGCCAGAUACAGAAUUAGAAAUUAAACUUAAACCAGAUAAUAUUACUAGGAAAACGUAAAAAGCAGCAAAUUCUGCAGUAAAAUUCAGAUAAAACACCCUUAAUGGUAAGAAUCCACUUCUGGGAUCCAAUUACGAGAAUAGGCUUACUUAAGAAGAUGAUACAGAUUAAAGAUACUAAAUUGCUAAUCCUACGUUUGAAACUACUGCUCCAAGCACAAUAUCUUAGGCAGAGACAUUAAGACGGUGUAGUUUAAUUAAUUACCUAUAAAAUCCUGCAAACUACAUUUAAUCAGCCCUUCUGCAAUAACUUGAGAAUGGCCACAGCAACAUCACAGAGAUUGCUCAAAAGCUUGUUCCUUUCAGUUAACGGGGACUGACUUGAGCCAGAGAAGUUCUUUUCACAGU
rnacentral:misc_RNA from 1 species